AGUGGCCGGAGCGAAAGGGAGUGACUGGAGGAAUCCGCAGCCUGCCGGCCCCCUCCGCCUGCACAGCGACAGCUGCGCUGAGCCAGGGGGCGGGAGAGCGCGCGCACACCACGGCCCCGCGCUCCCUCGGGCGGGCGGGGAAUGGGACUAGGACGCAAGCGCCCGCCUCUCUCGCUGCCCCUCCCCAGCAAAUCCAGCGCCCUGUACUGGGCCAAACGGAUCCGCAAGCCCCGCUGCUGCAGCGCCGACUGAGUGACACGCACCGCGCCCGCGUGUCCGGGCCUCCCUUGGGAGCCGCGAUGUGAUACAAGCAGAACAGGGCACACGAACAUAUAUCACAACCGCCUGCUGUGGAGGCAGAGCGGGAAGGUGUGGGGCUGCUGCUCCGAGGCACAGGCUCUGCACCGGCCUCCCUCGAAAUGGCUGAGGUCACCGUGAAUGUUAAGAAGAGUGGACUAUCCAGGUCCAGCUGGAGGGCUGAGCCUCUUAGGAGUGGAAGUGGAGUGGGAAAAAUACCUGGCCAUCCCCACAGAGUUGGGGGGUGCUGGGCCCUGCCCCACACACAACAUGGGGAAGGAACUCUGCAUUUUGCUAUAGGCAAGCAAGACAUGGACACUAAGGAAACAGGACAUUAGGAGGCUUUCUGAUUUCACUUGGCUGGAGGACUGAGCCACUGAAGAUUUGCCUAAUGAGGCUGACAACCUAGAGGGAGUGUCAGGAGAAAAAAAGACUGCAGCACUAGACCCACCCAGCAGGAGGCACUCACAAAGAGCUGAAUGUCAUGUCUACCAAAUCAAAAUGCUACAGGCACUUGCUGAGCAUUAGCUAUACCUUUCACAUGACUAACAAAUAGGAAUCCCCGGAAUUUACAGCAUAACUGGAGUGAUAGCCAAUAUCACCAAAAGAAAGAAAACCUGAGUUUGUGGGAUAUGUGGGCUGGAUGAGCAGAGGAAGGUUGCUGAAGAUAGUUUUGUAGGGACUGGGGCCAGCAGCAGGGUGUUCCCACAACAAGUGUGGUUUGAUAAUGUGGCUGACUGGAUGGGAUGUGGCAUGGCACACAACUCAAGGCUGUGCAAAGAUCACAAGACAUGGAGGAAGAUUGCUGGACAAUGACUCGCAUGUGUUGUGGUUACUGUUCAUGGUACUGUGACCUUAUGGUGCUCUGCACUAAGAGAAUAACAACAGUAAAAAAUGACCAGUCAUAGUCUUUAUUUGACCAAGUGUGCCUGAUGACUGUUGGGAAAGUUGUUGACUGGGUUUUCAGUAUACAGUCUGUGUCACCAUUGCAAAUGAGUGAUUCAUACUUCUCACAAGAUUCCUUUCUCUACCACAGAGUCUAGUUUUGUAUGUAGACUCAUCACCCCAGAUUUUCAAGUCAGAAAGAUAGAAAUCAGACCUGUGAUCCAUCUGGGCUGGUACCCUGUCUUCAACAGUGGCUUGUACCCAGUGCUUCAGAGUAAAAUCCAUUCUAGACAAUUAUGGAAUAGUCUGCCCAAAGGAGAAAUUUCUUCCUAAACCUCAGAGGGGUAGCCAUGUUAGUCUGGAUCUGUAAAAGCAGAGAAGAGUCCCGUGGCACCUUAUAGACUAACAGAUGUAUUGGAGUAUGAGCUUUCGUGGGUGAACACCCACUUCGUCGGAUGCACCUGCAUGUGCAUCUGACGAAGUGGGUAUUCACCCACAAAAGCUCAUGCUCCAAUACGUCUGUUAGUCUAUAAGGUGCCACAGGACUCUUUGCUGCUUCUUAAACCACAUCAGUUAGUGGUUAACUUAUCCCUUCAAGCAUAAGGGUUUAUAUCUCUCAAAUAUUUUAUCCCAUCUAAUGUAGUUGCAGAUGUUCUUAUAAUGUAUAUAUGUCUAAUCUCUUUUUGAAACCUAUUAAACUUAUGCCUGCUAUAGUAUCUUGUGACAAUGAGUUCCCCACUCAUUAUUUACAAAUUGUUUUUUAAACUUUUGAAUUAAAUUACACCCAGAAGUGAAUAAGAACCAGUGCAGUCUUUGGUGUAACAAUCUGCCUAAAGCAAGGCCAUUAAGCUGACACACCACUGCAUUCAGCAUCACCUAAAAAGUGGUGUUCCAGCAUAGCUCCAUGUAGAGUACAUUUCAGUAAUUUAAUCUAGUUGGCCUGAAUGACACAGGCAAGGUCCAUAUAAAAGAGAAAUAGUCUUUGAGCAGGAAUCAAAUGAAAAAGGACAUUUCUAGCCACUGUUGCCACCUGGGACUGCAGGAUCAAUCAGGGAUCCAGGAAUACCCCUACAAUGUGAAUCUCCCUCUGUGUACUUACACAGACCCCACACCAUAGCAUUUGAUAAUCCAGUGUAAAUUAAUUAAUAUUCCACCCAGUACCCCAUCAGGUAGGGGAGCAUUUUAGGCACACAGGGUGCUAUUCAAUAAAUUCAGACCAGGGGAAGCCA
ensembl:lncRNA